AACGAACGCUGGCGGCAGGCUUAACACAUGCAAGUCGAACGCCCUAGCAAUAGGGAGUGGCGCACGGGUGAGUAACGCGUGGGAAUAUACCGAGAAGUGGGGAAUAACUUUGGGAAACUAAAGCUAAUACCGCAUACGCCCGAGAGGGGAAAGAUUUAUCGCUUUUCGAUUAGCCCGCGUGAGAUUAGGUAGUUGGUGGGGUAAUGGCCUACCAAGCCUACGAUCUCUAGCUGGUCUGAGAGGAUGAUCAGCCACACUGGAACUGAGACACGGUCCAGACUCCUACGGGAGGCAGCAGUGGGGAAUAUUGGACAAUGGGGGAAACCCCGAUCCAGCCAUGCCGCGUGAAUGAUGAAGGCCUUAGGGUUGUAAAGUUCUUUCGCCGAUGAAGAUAAUGACGGUAGUCGGAGAAGAAGCCCCGGCUAACUUCGUGCCAGCCGCCGCUGUAA
rnacentral:rRNA from 1 species